rnacentral:rRNA from 1 species
UACGUAGGGUGCGAGCGUUGUCCGGAAUUAUUGGGCGUAAAGAGCUCGUAGGCGGUGUGUCGCGUCGGCCGUGAAAACCUGGGGCUCAACUAUGGGCGUGCGGUCGAUACGGGCAUCACUAGAGUUCGGCAGGGGAGACUGGAAUUCCUGGUGUAGCGGUGAAAUGCGCAGAUAUCAGGAGGAACACCGGUGGCGAAGGCGGGUCUCUGGGCCGAUACUGACGCUGAGGAGCGAAAGCAUGGGUAGCGAACAGG